rnacentral:lncRNA from 1 species
UGAAACCUAAGAGACUUUGACUCCACUAAGGACACCCAGCGUGCAGGACAAAUAGAAGCUCUCAUGCAGAGAUAAAGUCCCCAGUUGAGAUUGUAACUCCUGAACAUGUGCAGAAUUGAUAAUCUCAUUUAUGGACCACCCUGCAGCUGUGAUUGUGACAUAUGCCUUUGUCCAGCACUUGAGUGAUUUGACUCUCCUGCCUGGGCUCAGGUCACAGAUAGGAUUGUGACACAUCGCUGAACUCAGGACCUAGGUGAUGGGAAUCUAUUCUCCUGACUUGGCAUUGCCCAUAGGGAACACUGUGACAUAUCACUGCACCCAACAUCCAGGUUAUGUGACUCUCCUGCCUGUGCCUUACAUGGGCCAUUGUGACAUAUUCCUGAGUGUAACACCCAGGUGAUGUAAAUCUCCUGCCUAGGCCUUGCCUACAGAGAGCAUUCUGACGUAUCGCUGUGACCAUUACAUAGGUUUUGCCCACAGGGGACAUUGUGACAUAUCACUGGGCCCAACACCAAGGUUAUGUUACUCUCUUUCCUUGGUCCUGCUCUCAAACAACAUUGUGAAAUACUGCUGAACCCAGCACGAAGAAGAUGUAAGUCUUCUGCCUGGACCCUGUUAACAAGGGGCACUGUGACAUAUCUCUGAGCCCAUCAACUAUUUGAUGUGA